GAGAAAGAAAAGAUUUGCUGCCAGUCACUUCAUCAAUAGAGCUACUUGAGCAAUUACUAUUUGUUAAAAGUUUACAUUUCCAAUGAAGCUACAUUUUAAAGGAGCCUCAUCCUUUCCGAAGAGCGGCUGCUUGGAAAGGGAGGGAAGAAAAUGAACCUUCUGAUUGCAUGUUAAAGUGCACUCGAGUACUGCAACCAUUUAAAAUGUAUUGUGCUGUUAGACGAAACCUACAGCAAAACCACUCCUAAGAGGCUUAAUUUAGGUUUUAUAGGAGGAACAUAAAAAAGACCAGGUUAUAGCAACACGCUGAAAUAUGGGGUACAUUUUAAAUAUCUUCAUUUAAAAAACGUAUGUUUAUUUUCCCUCCUGGGAUCACUAACGUGUGUCUCGACAGGGAAAGCAAGGACAUGCUACAUUCUUAAAAAUUAUCUGUUAAAGGGAUCACAUUCCAAGACAGGAUUGAGCAUUUUUAUUACUCAGAUAACCUCUUAAUUAUGUCACUGCCUUCCACUUGUUAAUCAGGGACAUUCAACAUGGUUAACCAGAGUGUGGUCGCCUGAAGAAGACUCCGUUAUCAUUAAGAAUUAGAAACUCAUUUUAUUCCCAUCACCACAUUGCUGCAUGUAUGAUUUUAGCUCUGCUGAAAACUGAUUUACUGGCUUGACAUACGAAACACCUCAGAAAAGGUCUAGAUGCUUAUAAUGAUGUUAACUACUUCAAACUGUGCAGCUCAUGAAAAGCUUGAAGGGAUAGAUAAUUUUGCUUUUCCUGUCUCUCCCCUUCUGCCUUCCUACUGGAACCAAUUUGAGGUUUCUCCUGCAGCCACCAGCAUCUGCGAUACGGACUGUUUCAGAGAGCAAGGUCUUCGUCUAACAGCAAGUAUUUGUCAAGAAGAUCUAUGAGGAAUAACCUCACAGGCCCCUUAAAAAUAAGAAUCUUCCUGGCAUGAAAUGACGCCUUUGGUGGAAUGAUUCUUCAGGGAGUGGAGAGCAUUCGAACGGGUUGACACGCAGGUCUCUCAUCAUGUUGAGUCCAACCUUUCAUUCACUGGCGACGAACUCAAAAAUCGAAAACUUGAUAUUUUGAGACCUUCCGCAUUAAAUUUAACCUCACUCUCACCCCCGAACCUAGAACCUCCAAGCAACUAGACGAAAGCAGAACUACAGUUUGCUCCCUGCCAAGUCUGCACCCAUGUCUCUCAUUUUUCUUUUACUCUAAUCUAAUCGCUAAUUCUUAAACUUGGCCAAAUAGUUAAAAAUGUUAAGUGCUAGCAAAGCCUUUUACCUCCCCCUCAUAUCUGUCUCUGUUUAUGGAAUGGGCCCGGUUUCCUCCUCUUCUCCUUCAGCUCGGGGUCUUCAGGUCAGAACACUGUAAAUACACACAGCCCUGGCAGACCCAUAAAUCUGAGCAAAGGGCAGGCUUAUAUAUUCAGAUAAGCGUGGUGGGGGCGGGGGCAGGGAAGGAUGGAGAACUAGCAGCGUCUGACACUCCACAGCCUGUUCAGAGAAGAGAAUGAAAAAGGCCAAGAACCUUUAGUGGGGAAGGAAAAAAGAUUUCUGUCUCGAAACAUCCAUCCUAAUUUCUCAUGGAUGAGGUUGGCACUGCUUCCUGUUUUUUUAUUUUUUAUACUUUUUCCACAUUGCUUAUGUUCACAUCCUUACCGAACAUAUUGUCUUGGAGGCAAU